rnacentral:tRNA from 1 species
GGCUCAGUGGUCCAAUGGUAAAGCUUUCGUUGCGGAGCCUGAGGGUCCUAGGUUCGAUCCCUAACAGGGUCG